GACGAACGCUGGCGGCGUGCUUAACACAUGCAAGUCGAACGGGCCUGUCUUCUUUUUUGGGGGGUGGGUUGAGUGGCGAACGGGUGAGCAUCACGUGAGUAACCUGCCCUUCGGUCCUGGAUAACCGCUUGAAAGGGCGGCUAAUACGGGGUGGUCCGGUUGGUCCGCAUGGGCUGGUCGGGAUAGAUUCACUGUUUUUGGUGUUUCGGCGGGGGAUGGGCUCGCGGCCUAUCAGCUUGUUGGUGGGGUGAUGGCCUACCAAGGCGGUGACGGGUAGCCGGCCUGAGAGGGUGGGCGGCCACACUGGGACUGAGAUACGGCCCAGACUCCUGCGGGAGGCAGCAGUGGGGGGUAUUGCACAAUGGGCGGAAGCCUGAUGCAGCGACGUCGCGUGAGGGAUGGAGGCCUUCGGGUUGUGAACCUCUGUUUCCGGUGGUGAAGGCCCUGUCCGUGUGGUGGGGUUGACGGUAGCCGGGGAUGAAGCGCCGGCUAACUACGUG
rnacentral:rRNA from 1 species